rnacentral:tRNA from 1 species
CAGGGAGACAAAAAUAGAUUGUGAUGCCAAGAUUAUUUUUUUAUUCUGGCCACAAUCCUGUCACUUAGGUCGAUCGGUACCUCAAUUUGAAUUCCAAAAGAUUUUAAAUUCAGUUCCUAAACUUUGUCUAGGUCACACCCAACAAGGGUACUCCUGGGCCAUUAGCUCAGGUGGUUAGAGCGCACCCCUGAUAAGGGUGAGGUCCCUGGUUCAAGUCCAGGAUGGCCCAUUCGGUGUUGGGGGUUUAGCUCAGUUGGUAGAGCGCCUGCUUUGCAAGCAGGAUGUCAGCGGUUCGAGUCCGCUAACCUCCACUGACUGAUCUCCUACAACGAGCCAAUGGUGAGAAUCGUUGUGUGAUGUGAUUUAGAAUUUAAGUUUGCUGGAAGACCCUAGCUUCUUAUCAUUCCAGGCCUCAAUCAAUUGAGGUUAGGUUGAUAGGACGCUGGGCUCACUGUAAUUUGAAAGAAUUGCAGAGAUGUUCAGCAGAACCUUGACAACUGCAUAGGUAAGUCUGGAAAGAAUAAAGCAUCUCAUGGAUGCAUGAUUCUUGUGAAUCAGCUGAUGCAAUCUGCGUCAGUAGAGCGCUGAGGUUGAUGAACGAGAAUGAUGUUUGAUUCUUGAGUCAAGAGCCGAGACUCUAUAGCGUUCUUUCGAUGUCAUCGAGGCAUUGAGAGUUUGAUUGGUGAUUCAAGCCAUCUUGAAUGACAAACAAUUCAGUUUAACUGGAGAAGUUUGAGAUUGAAGAAUGGGUGAAUUGCUAAGAAUACGUAUUCAACUACGUGAAGCGUUAUAGAGAUUAAUU